AUAUGGUAUCCUUAUGUUUUGAGGAAAUGAUAUGUAAAAUUUUGUAGCAAUGGAUUAAUUGGUCAUGUUUACCUUCUUUUAGACAAGAAUUUGCAAUUUGCAAUAUUUAUUACCAAACAAACUACAGUUAAAAUAGUUGCCAUUUCUGUAUAGCAUGCUGUUAUUUUGUCCCUUGGAUAACAUGAUGGAAUAAUUAUAUAUUAAUCAUUGUCGUUUAUUUUAUACACAUUCAAAUUCAACCAUCGAAUUCAUAAAGAAUUACUAUUAAGAAAUAGUAAAUUACAAGCAGAUUUUUCCAAUAAAAUUUUACUGUAAAAAAUAUCAACGAAUUAAAAUUACAAGCAGAUUUCUCCGUCGCUUCUGCUUUGUCGCCGCUCGCUUGCACGAGCUCCCUCGGUCACUGCUUGCUUGCACGAGCUCCCUCCGCCGCCGCUCGCUCGCAUGAGCUCCCUCCUCUGCUGCUCGCGUUACACGAGCUCCCUCUGCCGCCUCUCAGCUUAUGUCUCUCUCUGUCUCGCGCCAUCCAUCCUCGCCGUUCACAGUAUCGUCGAGUCAUCGUGUCACCAGAUCUAAAACCUACAUGUUGGGACUCCAAUUUGUAUUCCUUCUAGAGACUUCAUUGACAUUGGCCGCAUUGCCUCCAUUGAAAAUAACCACACGCCAGUUGAUUAUGCAAAGAAAGGGCUGAAAGGAGCUAUUAAGAAUGUUGAAGUAUUCGUGGACGCAUUUAGAGCAGUAAUUGAAGAGAGGGAUUAACAAAGACACUAGACUUUAUAAUUGACACAGCAUUGGUGAUCAUCCUUUUGAUCCUUACAUAGCACUUCUGAAAACAUUUGGUAUCCUAGUAGUAGUUGGGGCUGCAAAUGAAAUCAAGAUUAAAAACAAAUGUCAUAUUUUCUUGUCCCAGUAUCUUCUUUUCUCAAUUUGGCUACGCAGAUUAAGGACCUUGAUAUAUCAAGGAAGAAAGCAGAUCUUGAAGGCCACACAACAAGAGCAGAUGGUCUGAGACUUUGAUGGACAUAAUUUUAGAUCAACUAGCUUACAGCAUAGAUACCAUCCCCCUAUUUCUUAAGACCUUCAGUGAACCAAAAUGGAAACUGGAAAUAGUUGUGCAUUACCUGUGGAAAUACAUGACUAAGCCUUCUGUUCACACUCGAAAGUCAAAUGGCUCUCCUGAGGAUGCAACAUUUGAAGUGGCUUUGAAAUGCUUCUCAAAUAAAACUGGCACUAAAAGUUCUAUUAAAAAAAUUGGUCCAGAUGUAAUGCAGUUCCUUGUUGGUCACAGGUAUUCCUUUUUUGUUACUUUAGUACUAAGGUGGUUAUGUAAUAGAAGUAAUGGUUUGAUUCCUGUUAUUUAAAAGCUUUACUAUCUUCCUAACCCUCAUACAUGGAUUGUAAGCAUUUUGCAUAAUGUGAUUGGUGAAUUUGGUUAUAACGAGAGAAAUUUUUCGGGGUUAUCGGUUCAGUUCUUGAUAUUCUAUAUGGCUAUAAGGCAUGAUUGUUUGAUUUCGCUUUUGCUCUUGCCGACUUAGGUUGUCUAUUUUAAGCUGAAUGUGUUUGUAGAGCCUCUACUUUGCUCUGCUUUAGAAUUGUUCCUAGUCCUAGUCCUAGAAAUUGAUUUUGCAACUUCUAAAAAUUUUUGUUGGAAGUCCAUGAAUUAAAAUAUAUAGAAGGCCAGAUUUUUGUAUUUUCAACUUUUGAAUUGAGAACUAAUU